AAAAAAUAAAAUGCUCCGCUGGGGCGCAGCUUGAUACGACCGCAGAGGUCGAACCCCUGAACAGUUGGGGCAAGUAUGGACACAACAUUCAAGCUUGAUACAGCACUGAAUUUGGAUUGUAAUUAAAUAUUUGACACAGCAUAGGU